GCUGGGUUAGCUCAAUCGGCAGAGCUCCUGUUUUGUAAACAGGAGGUUGCGGGUUCAAGUCCCGCACCCAGCU
rnacentral:tRNA from 1 species